rnacentral:rRNA from 1 species
UACGAAGGGGGCUAGCGUUGUUCGGAUUUACUGGGCGUAAAGCGCACGUAGGCGGUUUGUUAAGUCAGAGGUGAAAUCCCGGAGCUCAACUCCGGAACUGCCUUUGAUACUGGCAAGCUAGAGUCCGGAAGAGGUAAGUGGAACUCCUAGUGUAGAGGUGGAAUUCGUAGAUAUUAGGAAGAACACCAGUGGCGAAGGCGGCUUACUGGUCCGGGAACUGACGCUGAGGUGACGAAAGCGUGGGGAGCAAACAGG